UUGACUAUUCGUCUUAUUUAAAUAUUUUUACGAUUAAUAGUUUUAUUGUUACUAGAUGGUAAAACAUAAAUAAUAUUUUAUGCAUGACUAAUUUCUUUUAAGUUUUCUUACAAAAUUUUCAAAUAAGACAAAUGGUCAA
rnacentral:pre_miRNA from 1 species